UUACAGUUCUAAAAUGGCUGGAUGGUACCAGUGGGGGAAUCGGAAGGUCUCUCCCAAAAGUCAUUAGUUUUCUUUUGGAUUGUAUUCUAAGAAACCGUAAUUCUCUUCCAGUGUUCACUCCAAUAGCAUGACACCAAAACUGAAAAUGAAGCUGUAGGAAAACGUUAAAUAAGGAGGACUUCUGUAAGGACAUCUGGGGACAAAUUUAUGAUUAUUCAGUUCCUCUAUGACCUAUGUUUUCCUCUUUGAAUGAGGCCUCGACUGUCUUCCUUCUCUCCCAAGGCUUGUGUUAGUGGGCAGAAAACUGUCCCUGGAGAGACCAGGCUGUUUGUGCAGAAGAUGAAGGAAUGGGUGGAGAUGAAGGAGUUGCUUCAUUUUUGCUUCUAAUACUUGAUGGAGUUGUGUCCAGGUUUAUACAGUGGAUGCUUCUUGACCAUUGCUCUGAAAUCCUACAUAUGUGCAAGUCAUGAGAGGACUAUGCUGUUGUUUAAGCAUAACCACAAGUACGGACAUGUCUCAAAGUAGUCUCACUGGACAGCUGAGUCUGGACAAAGGAUGGACUGGUCUCCAUUUGGAACUAGAAAGGCAACUGGAAUUUAGACGAGUAGCUGAGUCACGUGGGCGGUUUGGCAAAAAGCUAUAUGAAUACACAGUGUAAUAGAGAACAGACCAAAAAACCCCCAUGGGCUGAGAGAGAGCAUCAGUACCACAGUUUGCAGGUUAUCCAGGCCAUCAAGCAGCUCAUUGGGGUUCUCCUCUUUCCAAACUGUCAUUUAUGUGGGUGGUAAAACUUAAUCCCCUCAGUCAGAGUUUACGGGGUAGCAACUGUAGAAUCACUUGGCUCCUUGUACUCAUCUGCACAGGAGAAGAGAGCAAGUGUUUUCCUAAUAGCUGCUGCUUCAUCAGUUACCUUUGAACUGCUGGCGUGGGAGAGGGGUGGAGAAGCAAAAUACAAGCUCCCAUUGUGAAGCUGUAUGUGCACUAUAUGUUCUUAAGGCUGGAAGGGAAGGCUUUAGCCCACGGUUUUGAGAAAAGGUUGUGUCCUUUGUCCCUUUUCCUUAGCAUAUUCAGGUGUCUAAUGGAUACCUGCGAAGGAGAGAUGCUUUUCUUUUUUUUUUUUUUUUUUUUUUUUUUUUUUUUUUUUUUUUUUGCUUCAGAGCCUUCGUGUGGUUUUGAGGGCAAAUACCAUCGUUGCAUCUCUCCAGACGGACCUGGUGUGUGAAAUUUAGACCCCCAGCAGCCCCCACCUUUCCCUUAGAGCUGCGGUGCAGAAGUGAUGCUCUAAAACCCCCUGGGUUGUGGGGCUCAGUUCUCAGCUGGGCCCGUGCUCUGGGCCACUGCUCCUUCUCCUUCGCCAAGAUGCCUUGAAGCCCCUGAGCGUCUCCCCAGGGCCCCCACUCAGGAAAAAUAGUGCCUGUUUAGUAUCUUAAUUUCUUAGGAAUAGAAUUACUGAAAAUCAAAAGGUUUUAAACACUGCUAAAUAGAACACAGACAAACAAAAAAAAAUUGGUAUGUAGGCUGAAGAUAGUAAUUACAUAACAACUCUGGUCCUAGCAUGGCAGUACUGAAGGAUAUGAUCCUUGAGUUUAUCUUAAAUCUUCCUUUUUUUCCUGUAUGUUUGCAAAGUGGUGAAUUCUGCAGAGCAUCUCUUCAGCCAGCAAAUCUGCCCCUGACAUCCGUACUUAAAUUUUUCCAAGUUAGAAAGUGCUAGCUAUAUCAUGGAAAAAAGAAUUACCCUGUUUCACUGCGCCUAGCAAACACGCUUGGUGUUGGUGCUCUGAGCUGCUUGGAGCAGAAGGUAGCAGCUUUUCCUCUAAAUCAAGUCAGAUGUAUUUCUUUUGUUUUGAGACAGAUUUCUCUUUUGUAUCCACUAAAAUUAGUACGUUGCUUUUCCUGUUGUAAUAAUUAAACAGACUGGUGUGAAGCAGACGUCCCCCAGGAACUCUAUUUUUUUUUUUUUUUUUAAAUUGGAAACUUCUUGUUCAUCAGACUUUUAGUUUCCUGUAUCGUUAUGCCAUUCCUGCUCCUGGAAAUCUGUUGGUGAGGCAAAACUGCUUCUGAAACUGGUGGAACAGUUUUGAACCUGUUUAUUGCAGCUGCUGUGGCUGUAUCAUCCAAGUUUUUAUUUUUGUCGUCUUUGUUGAAUUUUAAAUUGUGCUUUAUAUUCCUUGCUCCCCUUUAAAGUGUCUAAACAUGAAUUUCCAGCUGAAGCAAAGGGGCAUAUUUGUCUUUAAUAGAGAGACCAGUAUAUGGCAUUGGAUCAUACCAUACCAUGCCUAUCUCUACCAGGGAUUGAUGAAAUCUUGGCUUCAUUCAAGUGACCAAUAAAACUCUGACAAGGGCAGGUUUUUUUUUUUGUUUCCCAGUCUUUUGUCACCAUCAUGUUUGAUUUCUCAGAUGCCUUAAGAUCCGUAUGUCUUGAUGAAAGCGUUGAGUGUUACCCAUAGCACGGGAUGAUGUCGUCUUUAGCCCUCAACAGUCCGUUGUGUCAAGAGUUCUCUUUAGCUUAUUGCAUCUGGGUGUAACGAGGGGUUACAACUGCUGAGUGACAUGUGUGUGAAAGGAGAGAUGAAAGGAUGACAAGACAGCUCCGUCUGAGCUCAGCUGGUUGCAUAAUUUCUUGUUUGUUCUGGGUUUUAUCCUAUUUAGUAGUUUACCAGGACCAGCGCAGUCUUGAUCUGAAUUGGAGGAGGUUGUGCAGCCAUAUGUCUGUAUGAAAUGGCUCCAACCUCGACAGGCUGGAGAGUUGGGCAGAGAGGAACCUCAUGAAGGUCAACAAAGGCAAGUGCAAGGUCCUGCACCUAGGGAGGAAUAACCCCAUGCACCAGCACAGGCUGGGGACUGACCUGCUGGAAAGCAGCUCUGCGGAGAAGGACCUGGGAGACCUGGUGGACUGCAGGAUGACCACGAGCCAGCACAGUGCCCUUGUGGCCAAGAAGGCCCAUGGUAUCCUGGGCUGCAUGAGGAAGAGCAUUGCCAGCAGGUCGAGGGAGGGGAUCCUUCCCCUCUCCUCAGCCCUGGUGAGGCUGCAUCUGGAGUGCCUGUGUCCAGUUCUGGGCUCCCCAGUACAAGAGAGACAUGGAGCUACUGGAGCGAGCCCAGCGAAGGGCUGCUAAGACGACGAAUGGACUGGAGCAUCUCUGCUAUGAGGAAAGGCUGAGCGAGCUGGAGAAGAGAAGGCUGAGGGGGGGGAUCUUAUCCAUGUGUAUAAAUAUCUGAAAGAGGAUGUAAAGAGGAUGGGGCCAGACCCUUGUCAGUGGUGCCCAGGGACAGGACGAGAGGCAACGGGCACAAACUGAAACACAGGAAGCUCUGUCUGAACACAAGGAAAAAACUUCUUUACUGCGAGGGUGGUGUGAGCACUUGGGCAGGUUGCCCAGAGAGGUUCUGAAGUCUCCAUCCUUGGAGAUAUUCAAAAGCCCUCUGGACACGGUCCUGGGCCACGUGCUCUAGGUGACCCUGCUUGAACCAGGGAUGCUGGACUAGAUGAUCUGCAGAGGUCCCUUCCAACCUCAACCAUUCUGUGAUUCUGUGAAAUGAAGGUCAAAAGAUAUCUUAUUGGCUAGUGUUAAUGGUGGGGAAGGUAGGGCGGAGGCCUGUAAGACACUCUUCUUCCCCCUUUCCAAGCUUGAAGAAUACCCUAUACCUCAUUUCUAUUGGUAAAUUAUUGCAGAAUUGUAAUUUUUCUAUUAUGUCUUUAUUGCUGCCAAGUAUGGGUCACUUUUUAAAAUAUAUCACCUAUGUAAUUAUGGAUUUUUUCUUCCAAUCCUAUAAAUAGAAGUUUUGCUAUUCUUAGCCAAUAACCAUCCUGAGAGAUGGAGGGUGCUGUUAGAUCUGAUUAAGUCUGCUGGAAGUAGGAGAUGAAGAGAUUCCUUGCUGCUGAGGGUGUGAUUCUAAUGGCUGCGCUCUCCUCUCUGAAUUUGCACUGAUCAGAUGCUCCCGUUUCUUCCUGGCACGGGACACAGUCCUUGGAUUGGGGUCCUGACGGGAGCUGUCCACAAAGGAACACGUCCAGUUCUGGAGAAACCUCAGCAUUAUGUCCAUUUUUGUUCCUGGUUGGACUAAAACUAGCUUCUGUGCUGAUUAAAUUCCCCACUCAUCAUCCUGGGUAAAUGCCAAGAGAUUUUGUUCAGGAAACAUGCCUAAACACAGCGUUCCCUAGGCUUCGAAGACUGUUCCGCCACGCGCGCUCUUGGUGGAUGUUUUGGAGCGGGCAGUCUCCAGGUCCCGGGUUAGUUGUGGGGAGUCUGGAAAGGCUCAGAGCUUUUUCUCCGGCCAGCGUUGGAAAGGUUUUCUCAAGCAGAGGCUAUCCCACACCCUGGCUAGAGCAGGGCGUAGAACAGCUGUCCUUGAAUUCCUGGCAGACUUUUCCAGGACUUGGGGAUCCCGGAGAUCCCCCGGGAACGCCUGUCUUUGGUACCAUAAAACGUAUCAAACCCCAAGCGCUUCCAGUGAAACAUUUGAAUGGAGUUUAUUGCUGAAAGUUUAAAAGUCUUGUUUGUCAGAAAGUAUCUAUCCAAAGAAACCGGCCUUUAGCAUUCAUCCAAGCAGGACCUUGCAAAAGAGCUGAUUUCCUAUCUCUUACUUUCAGGUAACGGGGCAGUGUUGGCUUGUGUGUUACUACCGUUGCUGCAUUUGUCCUGGAUCACCUGGGACGAGGAACCGGUGAAGAAGGGAAAGGUCUGCCUCGCAUGGAUGAUGAGCUGCAUCAUCUGGGAAAAUAAUCAGGAAGAAGGACUUGAGCUUGUGCAUUUUGCUAUUUUUCACUAGAGGGCAGCAUUUAUUUUCCUUUAAAUUCCUUUUUUUUAAAGUUCUUCGUACGGGUGUAGUGGAGACCUUUUUUUUUAUUAUUUUUUAAUAGUUACAUUUUGUAUAGAUGAAUGUUCUGUUACUUUUUCAUCUGCGUUUUUAGUGUUGCUAGAGCCAGAUGCACAGCAAAUGUCACUUAAUUGGCAGAGUUAUCUUGCUUUGCUGGUUUCUGUCGAAAGAGAAUUUUCGUUUGGAAGUGCCAUAAGCUUGGAGAGAAACCCUGAAACUGAGAUAUCGUGCACCCUUGCUGUAGUUUUCAGGACACUUAUUUAUUUUUCUUUAAGUACGCGUAUGCACAUAAAAGGCCAUUAACUCCUCCAUUUCUUGUCUGAUACACUAUUUUCUAUGCAAAUGUUAGGAAUGUUGAAAGGACACUGGAACAGAGGGGAUUUUCCUAGUCACUCAAUCCAAAUGUGUUUGGUGUGAACGCUAUUAUAACAUGAUGUUUUAAUAAUUUUAUUCUAUGGACAUAGAUGAGCCGAUGCAAUUCAUCACCUUGCUUAGGACUGCAUAGUUCUGUCUUAGCUUUGUGAUUUUGUAACUGGCUGCAGAGCACUUUUUGGAGGUUUGUUCAUUUUCUUAACUCCCUUGCAUAUUUGCGGAGGUAGCGUAGGCUUGUGGAAAGAGCAUUCUUAGAUGGAUGACCUUAGAAAAAUCACUUUCCUUUGUAACUCACUCUAAUUUUAUAAUAAGGAAAAAUUAGCCCUUCUUUUGUCUACUAGUGAGAAAUUAUACCGGAAUCUGAUGCA